rnacentral:lncRNA from 1 species
CCAUUUCUUAUUUCCUUCUUCCUGCAGUUCCUAAGGCAGCUUGAGAGUUCACUGUGUCCCCAGCCCUAAGCCCCCACCUCUUUGUCCCCCAUUCUUUGGCUCAGGCCUUCUAGAAUCUCCCAGUGGUCUUGCCUCCCCUGUUAGAUCAGAAAUAUCCUUGUCCCUGGUGCUGCCUUCCAGGACCACAAGGUGGGACCUUGAACACUCUAGCUGGCUCCACCACCCAGAAGCAGGAUUAGGGCUCACUGCCAUCCUAGGGCGAGCCCCUACAUGGAGCAGUGGAUACAACUCUGGCCAACCUGGAACUCCUAGGCUAAAGCCAUCUUCAGCCUCAGCCUCCUGGGAAUCUGAGAACACAG